GACAGAGGGUGCAAACGUUGUUCGGAAUUACUGGGCGUAAAGCGAGUGUAGGCGGUUUCCUAAGUCAGGUGUGAAAGCCCCGGGCUCAACCCGGGAAGUGCACUUGAAACUGGGAGGCUAGAGUAUCGGAGAGGUUGGUGGAAUUCUCGGUGUAGAGGUGAAAUUCGUAGAUAUCGAAAGGAACACCGGUGGCGAAGGCGGCCAACUGGACGAAUACUGACGCUGAGACUCGAAAGCGUGGGGAGCAAACAGG
rnacentral:rRNA from 1 species